rnacentral:rRNA from 1 species
UACGGAGGGUGCAAGCGUUAAUCGGAAUUACUGGGCGUAAAGCGUGCGUAGGCGGUUCGUUAAGUCUGUUGUGAAAGCCCCGGGCUCAACCUGGGAAUGGCAAUGGAUGCUGGCGAGCUAGAGUGUGUCAGAGGGGGGUAGAAUUCCACGUGUAGCAGUGAAAUGCGUAGAGAUGUGGAGGAAUACCGAUGGCGAAGGCAGCCCCCUGGGAUAACACUGACGCUCAUGCACGAAAGCGUGGGGAGCAAACAGG